AACGAACGCUGGCGGCAGGCUUAACACAUGCAAGUCGAACGCGUGCAGCAAUGCACGAGUGGCGCACGGGUGAGUAACGCGUGGAUAUCUGCCUUUUGGUUCGGAAUAACCCCGGGAAACUGGGGCUAAUACCGGAUGGUUCCUACGGGAUAAAGAUUUAUCGCCAAAAGAUGAGUCCGCGUCCGAUUAGCUAGUUGGUGAGGUAAUAGCUCACCAAGGCGACGAUCGGUAGCUGGUCUGAGAGGACGAUCAGCCACACUGGGACUGAGACACGGCCCAGACUCCUACGGGAGGCAGCAGUGGGGAAUAUUGGACAAUGGGGGCAACCCUGAUCCAGCCAUGCCGCGUGAGUGAUGAAGGCCUUCGGGUUGUAAAGCUCUUUUGGCGGGGACGAUGAUGACGGUACCCGCAGAAUAAGCCCCGGCUAACUUCGUG
rnacentral:rRNA from 1 species